rnacentral:lncRNA from 1 species
CUCUCAUCGUGCCCUGCAGCUGUACACCUUUCUUAGCACACCCAGUCCUCCUAUCUCCCCUGGGGAAUGGACUGCCUCUGUCCUGAGGAGGGAUCUCGGUGAGGUGGAGGUGUCACACGACUGGAGCCCUCCCUUUAGGCUCAGACCAGCUCUUGUCACCUCCCUGUGCAGUCUCAGAAGCUCAAGCAGCAAGCUGGCCCAGCUGACUCUAGAGCAGAUCCUGGAGCACUUGGACAACCUGCGGCUCAACCUGACCAACACCAAGCAGAACUGUAUGCUUCUUACCCUCUUGGGGUCUAGUGCGUGGAGUGCUGCCCAGCUCAGACGCCCCUAAAGCCAGGCGGGUGGCAGGGGCAGAACCAGAACCCAAACUCUUGGGAGGAAACAAGCUUUGGUGUGGUUUAAUAAGCUCCCAGACAUCUAAUCAUUUUUCUUCCCUGCUCUCCUUUCCUUCUCCCUCCAGUUUUUAGCCAGACCCCAAUCCUCCAGGCACUGCAGCAUGUCCAAGCAAGUUGUGAUGAAGCCCACAAGAUGAAGUGAGGCUCCUUCCACUUCUGGUCUUGGGAAGUAGCGAGCAGAAGGCCUAGGGGAGAGGAGGCCCACUGGGGACACAAGCUUAAUAGCCAUCAAGACCCUGAGGUUGGGCUGGGAAUAUAGCUCAGUUGUAGAGUGCUUCUCUUGCAUCACAAGGCUCUGGGUUCAAUCCCCAGCACCGCCAAAAAACACCAACAAAAAAACCCCAAGGUUGAUAAGAGAAAUAGACCUAAGCCUGUGGGCAGAAAACAGCAUGGGAGGUGGCCAUGGGGUCAGGAUGUUCCACUCUGAGAGUUUAUUCUCCUUCCCCUUAGGUUCAGUGACCUCUUCUCCCUGGCAGAGGAAUAUGAGGACUCGUCUACUAAGCCACCCAAGAGCCGGCGAAAGGCAGCUCUGUCUAGCCCUCGAAGUCGGAAGAAUGCCACUCAGCCGCCCAAUGCUGAGGAAGAGUCGGGCUCCAGCAGUGCCUCGGUGAGACCCCGUCCAGCACCAUGGGGAGAGGCGCAAUGGGGCGGAUGGAAUGGGGGCCAGCAGGCAGCUGCCCAGCUAGUGAUUUCCCUUCUCCCCAUCCCCGUCUCUUCCAGGAGGAAGAAGACACAAAACCAAAGCCCACCAAGCGGAAACGAAAAGGGUCUUCUGCCGUGGGUUCUGACAGUGACUGAGAUCCUAUGUUCCCCAUCCUACCCUCAAUUGGACUGCCCUCCCCCUGGUGAAUCAAAGGGUAACAGGGCUGGGGAGAUACAGGGAAGAUGCCCUCCCUGCCCUGAGCUUGCCCAGUGGAAAGGAUGAGCUGCUUCUGACACCAGCCUGAGGAGCUGCCGUGCAGCCCCCCUCUGCCUCUCUGUCCUGGGGCCUCCUGUUCCCCACAUUGCCACUUCCACUGCCAUUUGGGUCUCAUGGCAGCCAGAGGCUGUGCCAGACCAGACCCUGGUGGAAUUGAUCAGCUCCCUGCCCCUCCUUCAGCCCCCUCCCCAUCUCCCAAAGAACGCUUAGCAGAGAAGGGCAGUGACAAAGGGGCGCCUGGCUGAGAGGCUAGGACGAGAGCAGGUGCUGGCUGUGGGUCCGCUUCCUGCUUCCCCGGGUUCUGGAUUUGCUCUGAACACAUGCUCUGUGGUCAUUCUCCACACCAGUGUGUAGUGGGCAUCGACCUGGUAUGGUGGCCACUAUUCCAGGCAGAUGCCAUAAACCUUCAGGAAGGAACCUGAAAGGGACUGUGCCCAGGAGGCUUGGGUUGAUC